rnacentral:rRNA from 1 species
UACGUAGGGGGCAAGCGUUGUCCGGAUUUAUUGGGCGUAAAAGGCUUGUAGGUGGCCACGCCAAGUCGGAUGUGAAAUCUCCCGGCCCAACUGGGAGGGGUCAUUCGAUACUGGCGGGCUCGAGGCCGGUAGGGGGAAGUGGAAUUCCCGGUGUAGUGGUGGAAUGCGUAGAUAUCGGGAGGAACACCAGUGGCGAAGGCGGCUUCCUGGACCGGUUCUGACACUGAGGAGCGAAAGCGUGGGGAGCGAUCCGG